CUGUCGCUUCUUGAAAACAUGUCGCCCAUGAAGCUGUGUGUUCCAGUUCACGCAGGUGAAAGGCUCUGCAGCACCGAGGACUGUAUCCCCGGGACCGGCACGUAUCUGCGGCACGGCUGCAUCUUCGCUUCGCUCGCGGGAUACGUGCUGAGGAAGAACGAGGGAGAGGAGCUCCCGGUGAUUUCAGUCGUUAGAGAGACAGAAGCACAGCUUUUGCCUGACGUCGGUGCCAUUGUCACCUGUAAGGUGAUGAGUAUCAACCCACGAUUUGCUAAAGUCCACAUCUUAUAUGUGGGGUCGACACCGCUAAAAGACAGGUUUAGAGGCACGAUCAGAAGAGAAGACGUGAGAGCGACAGAGAAAGACAAGGUGGAGACGUACAAAAGCUUCAGGCCAGGCGACAUCGUCCUUGCAAAAGUGAUCUCUUUGGGCGACGUGCAGUCGAACUACCUGCUGACCACAGCAGAGAACGAGUUGGGCGUAGUUGUGGCCCACAGCGAGGCGGGCGCUCAGAUGGUGCCCAUCAGCUGGUGUGAGCAUGCAGAGAGGCACAGUGUGGCACGCACACACGCCAAAGAGUUUCGCAAGGUGGCACGGGUACAGCCGGAGUACCUGCAGGCCUGAGCCACGCCCACCACACCCGCUGACCACACCCACCGGAACACACAGUUUCAAAGACACGCCCCCUCGAGCAGAACUCCCAACCCAGUAACUGAUUGGAAUUCUAGGUGUGAAUCUGGAUUGUCAAGUGCC